GCAGGUGACAAAUAUUCACACUCCUGCUUUGGAGUUCAGUCUCAUCCUUCUCUGUGGUUUGGUGGCUUUCCAAGUUCCCUUCUCGACUGUCCCCCUGAGGAAUUCCAGCCCAGGGCCCUGACCUGAGAUGGUGGUUUUCCCCACCUCCUCCUGACACACACUAUUCUCCCUCCCCGCCCUCAACCAACGUCCUUGCUAAUGAAAGUCGCCCUCCCUCUGGCUAGGUGGACCUAGGGACUCAAUAAGCAGCGACAUUCCCCACAGGCUGGCAAAGCAGAUGGAAAACAAGUGCAUUACCAGCCUAGGGCAAACCCCCAGCCCAGAUAACAGGUUUUAUGGCAGGAGGGUCUCAUGGCCAGAAGGUUUGUCAGAAUUCCCAAAAGAAAGGGGGACUCAUGCUUAGAGAACAGCUCCCAAAUACUGGUCCAAGGUUUUCUAAGAGUCUGGCCCAACUUCAUUCUACAUGCUAAAGUUAGUUAUUAUUAUCAUUAUUGUAAUGAGAAAGAUUGGCCCUGAACUAACAUCUGUGCCAAUCCUCCUCUAUUUUCCGUAUGCGGGAUGCCACUACAGUGUGGCUUGAUGAGUGGCGUGUAGGUCUGCGCCUGGGAUCCGAACCCGCGAACCCUGGCAUGGAAGUGGAGCACACGAACCCACCCACUACACCACCAGGCCAGCUCCAAAGUUCUUUUCUGUAUGAGGUGGAGCCGUGAGCCUGGGAACCACAGGAGACUGGACGGCGGCUACAGAGGGACUCUGUGCCUUCGGGGACAACGGCAUGCUCCUGUGAAGUCUCCUGACGACCCUGCCUCCAUUUCUGGCCUGGGGAGGGAGUUUUCAAGACAACACCGGCCCAUGGCAGGAGAAUGAGGGUGCUGUGGGCAGGCCUGGGCCAGGCCGGCCUCCCUGCACCCCACUGUGUGGGCAGCCACAUCCACAACUGGGCCAAGGCCCAGCUGCCUGAGGGGCACAGGACUUAGGAACCGGACCACAGGGGAAGUUCUCCCUCCAUGUCAGCCAUUUACAGCACAGCACCAUGUGCAUAGCCUUCUGACAGCGCCUUCUCUACUCCCCGCACCGUGGUAAAGAACAGAUACCCAUCCCCUCCCCUGGGAGGAAAAGCCAACACAGACACCUGUCGAAACUUCUCCCACCCUCCAGAGGUAAAACCCUCAGGUUAAAAUGAAAGACAC
rnacentral:lncRNA from 1 species